GUGAAUCAUCGAAUCUUUGAACGCACAUUGCGCCCCCCGGUAUUCCGAGGGGCAUGCCUGUUCGAGCGUCAUUAUAGCCCAUCCAGCCCUGCUGGGUCCUGGGCUCGCCGUCCGGCGGGCCCCAAAGCUAGUGGCGGUGCCGUCCGGUGCUGGAGCGUAGUACAACCCCUCGCUACCGGCCCUGAGCGCGCGCCCGCCAGCGACCCCUUCUACGGUUGACCUCGGAUCAGGUAGGGAUACCCGCUGAACUUAAGCAUAUCAAUAAGCGGAGGA
rnacentral:misc_RNA from 1 species